GACGAACGCUGGCGGCGUUCUUAACACAUGCAAGUCGAACGGAGUGGCGAACGGGUGAGUAACACGUGGGUGAUCUGCCUUGCACUUCGGGAUAAGAUUGGGAAACUGGGUCUAAUACCGGAUAGUGCAAGAUGAGCUCGCGGCCUAUCAGCUUGUUGGUGGGGUAAUUGACUACCAAGGCGUCGACGGGUAGCCGGCCUGAGAGGGUGUACGGCCACAUUGUGACUGAGAUAGUGCCCAGACUCCUACGGGAGGCAGCAGGGGGGAAUAGUGCACCAUGGGCGGAGGCCUGAUGCAGCGACGCAGCGUGGGUGAUGAAGGCCUUCGGGUUGUAAACUCCUUUCGACAGGGACGCGGUACCUGUAUAAGAAGCACCGGCUAACUACGUGCCAGCAGCCGCGGUAAUUC
rnacentral:rRNA from 1 species